AUGAGAAACCUCUGCUUCCAGGAUAUUUGGAGGGUAUCUACAAUAGACUCAUGCGCGGAGGAAGUGGGCUUCAGCCCAGCGGCUGAGCGGCCCCUACAGCUACAGGCCUGCUGCGGGGUCACGGGUAGGGCAGGCAGGCUGGAGCCCAGGCUUGGCCGGGAGGCGGGCGGGGCACUGCUGGGGCCCCCGGGCGUGGCCGAGAGUCAAAAGCGAGGCCUGGCUGGAGCCCACUGGGAGUGGUCUUGGACCGGCGCGAGGCUUGACAGGCACUACUGGGCGUGGCCUAGGGCCGGGCAGGGGCGUGGCAGGGGCCGCAGGGCGUGGCUUAGGGCCACGGUGGGGCGUAGCCCGUGGGACUCGGCCCAGGGACACAGGGGCGGGGAGAAGACGCCGGAGGGUGAAGUGGGAGGGGAUCGGGGAGAAGUUACAGGUCCGGGAAGUUGGCCCUGGCGGUCCCGGGGGAGACGGCGGCGCGCAGCGAGCGGAGGGCAGGUCCCCAGGAGCCGGAGCGGGCGCGGGAGCUGUAGGCCGGGCAUGGUUAUUGACUUUGUUGACAACGUUUAAUAUGAAAAGUUCUAAAUCGCUAUGCAGCAGAGCCAUUUAACCAUAAAUAUCUGGGUGAGUGGACGUGUUGUGAUGUGUGCGAGGAGGAAAUCCUUGUGUCAUUGUUGUUCAGCCACUGAACUGAUGCUGUUUAGGAGAAGACGUGUCACAGGUGUGAACUUGCACAUGAUGGAAAUACUCAAACAAGCUUUAAAAAUUAUUAUGUGGUUUUCAAACUAUUUUGGUCACAAAUCAAAUGGCAGCUUUUAAGUGCAGUGUUUAUGGAGUACGGCUGCUCUGUGUGAUGUAAGCCAUAAAAAAAGAGAAGUGCUCACACAUUUGCACCAGACACUACUCUUUUCUUAGGAGUCCACUUAUUGAUACUUUUAUAGCACCGGCAAGUCGAGUUGGAAAUGUCCAUCCGCUGUACCUCUUACUGCUUCUACUUUCUCACUGUCUCCACUGGUGUCAUCUCCGACCAGGGCACCACCGAUUUUUUCCAGAUUCUCUCAACACCGUGCUGGUUUCUUUCCAGGCGCACUGGCCCCUCUUCUGUCCGUUCUCCACAUGGCUGCCAGGUUAUUCAGUUCGUUUCUUCUCCUGCAUAAAACUGUGAAAUGCCUUCCCACUUUUGAUCAGUUAGGGUUUAAUCAGGGAAAGAAAACAGCUAUAAGUGAAACAGAACAAGGGAUUUAUUAUAGGGAUUAGAACUCACACAGUUGCUGGAGACGUGAACUGAAAAUGAACUCACCAAACAUCAGCUUGCCGAUUUGACCAUCGCUUCUAAAAUUGUAAAUUGAGUACCUUAAACCAGGUCUAGGAGCAGGUGCAGCAGAGGCAGGGCAGGAAAAGGGCAUAUGUGUAUGCAAUAGGGAGGACUACAUUUAAGAGAAAUUCCGCUCAUUCAUAUGUGAAAUAUUCAGAGUUCCAGAAGUCCUGCCUUCUGAAAUGCGAAGUGUAACCGAAAUGGAUAUUCAGCCUAGGUAGAUAGAAAAAUCUUAAGAAUAAUGGCCAGGUUGAAAAGCUGCGGCAAAGAUCUCAAACUAAACUAGAAUUGCCCCCAAACUACCCACUCACCACCAAAUCUUUGAUAAUUCAACCAACUUGCUGUAUAGUUGAAAAAAGUUAAUUUAUGCAUAUGUUUUUGAAAAAGACAAAUCCUACAUAUUGUGUCUGGUUUGCAGCUCAGUGCUGUAGUACUGUUCUCUGAUUCUCUUCUUUCGUUCUUUUUAUUUUCCCUAAAGUACGAUGUCUUUUUUGAUUCCUUACCCAUUGAGAUGAGAACGGUUGUUUCCUUUGACCAGACUGUCAUAGUAACUGCAGAUUACCCUCAGUCUCUCUGACUGCUCACAUUUCACAUCUGAAGUACAACAAAGCUUUUGGCAAAUGUGUUUAUGGCUCUGGCUGUCCCUUCUUCCGCUACCUUCCGUGCGGGUAUGUGCAAUGCGGAAGCUUCCCCUGGUUGCUCUGCAGAAUGCCUAAAGCCUGCUUUCUGGGUUGGGGGUUACUCCUGUCUGCACAGUUGCGCACUGCAGCUCUCUUUGUCCAUGACCUUCCUCCCUGUUCGGUGAACUCUCAUCUUGGUGGCAGAAGGCCAUUAAUAGCCCUUUGCCUGUAUAUUGAGAAGAGAACAACUUCUAGGCUGAAUGUAGACUGAAAAGGGAUUCCCACACAGGAACCAUGAAUUCUACACACAUAUUUUAUCCCGCUAAAAGACAUAUUCCAGCUUACAGCAGUGUUGGCUACAGUUUGUUCUUUAAUCUUUCCUUAUCCUUUAAGUAUGGGUGACAUUGUGUACGAUCAUAGGAAACACCAACCAGCUCUGCCUGAGAGCGUUAGAGGAAUUUCCCAGAAGAGAUGACAUUUCUUAAAUGAUUUUUUUCCGCGAAGACUCACAGCUUGUGAGCUUGAAACUUACCAACAUUGCUCUUUCAAAUCUGUAUCAAUUAAAUAUAGUUGGGUACUUUUCUAGUAUAAGUGAUAGUGUUUUAUCAAUUUAUCCAAGUUUCUGGCCCCCCAGUGACUCUAGAAACACGUCUUUGAGCAGAUCAGCCAGAGGAAGGAAAGAGCAAAUGAACCCAUAUGGAAGAUUGAAUCUAUUAUCAAUAGUACUCUGAUUUCAUCAACUGAAGGAACUAGCUAUAUAUUCCUGGCUCUCAGUAACAAGGCAUAAGGCAUGGAACAGUGAGUUCCUCAACAUCAUCAGUGACAAAUAGUGUCCUGGGUCGUGACUGGCAGCUACACAGUGAUUCUCUAACCAGAUGCCAUCUUCUUUCAUCAUGGCCACCAUGUGAAUUAUUUAGAUGUUGGAAGCGUGGCUUGCAGAAGAGCACUGUCAAAAAAAAUUACAGGCCAUGCUAGCCAUAAGUCCUAAAGUGCUGUGUCAGAAAGUCUAAAUCAAUCAUUUAUGCAUUGUGGGCCAAUACAGUUAUCCCCCAAUACCCACAGGUGAUUGGUUCCAGGACCGCUCCUUGAUGCUAAAUCUGCAGAUUCUCAAGUCCGUUAUGUAAAAUAGUGUAGUAUCUGCAUAUAACCUAUGCACAUCCUCUUGUGUACUUUAAAUCAUCUCUAGAUUACUUGUAAUACCUAAUACAAUGUUAAUGCUCUAAAAAGUUGUUAUACUAUACUAUUUAGGGAAUAAUAAAAUAAAAACAUCUGUACA
rnacentral:lncRNA from 1 species